rnacentral:tRNA from 1 species
GGCUUCGUGUCUCAGCUGGUAGAGCGCUUGCUGCGUUGAGGCACGUUGUUUCUGUCGCUGAUUCGAAUCCGGCCGAAGCCU